rnacentral:rRNA from 1 species
GACGAACGCUGGCGGCGUGCCUAACACAUGCAAGUCGAGCGGAGAUAAGAAGCUUGCUUCUUAUCUUAACGGCGGACGGGUGCGUAACGCGUGGGUAACUUGCGCUAUACAGGGGGAUAACACAGAGAAAUUUGCGCUAAUACCGCAUAAAGUCAUAGAUGGGCAUCGAUAGAUGACCAAAGGAGAAAUCCGGUAUGAGAUAGACCGGCGUCCGAUUAGCUAGUUGGUGGGGUAACGGCGCACCAAGGAGACGAUCGGUAGCCGAAAUGAGAGGUUGAACGGCCACAUUGGGACUGAGACACGGCCCAGACUCCUACGGGAGGCAGCAGUGGGGAAUAUUUCGCAAUGGGGGAAACCCUGACGCAGCAACGCCGCGUGAAGGAUGAAGGUUUUCGGAUUGUAAACUUCUUUGAUUGGGGACGAAACAAAUGACGGUACCCAAAGAACAAGCCACGGCUAACUACGUGCCAGCCGCCGCGGUAAAAC